rnacentral:rRNA from 1 species
AGCAGCCGCGGUAAUUCCAGCUCCAAUAGCGUAUAUUAAAGUUGUUGCAGUUAAAAAGCUCGUAGUUGAAUUUCGGGGUUAGUAGGUUGGUCAUGCCUCUGGUAUGUACUGGUCUCACUGAUUCCUCCUUCCUGAUGAACCUUAAUGCCAUUAAUUUGGUGUUUUGGGGAAUUUGGACUGUUACUUUGAAAAAAUUAGAGUGUUUAAAGCAAGCUAACGCUUGAAUACAUUAGCAUGGAAUAAUGAAAUAGGACGUUCGAUCCUAUUUUGUUGGUUUCUAGGAUUGACGUAAUGAUUAAUAGGGAUAGUUGGGGGCAUUAGUAUUCAAUUGUCAGAGGUGAAAUUCUUGGAUUUAUUGAAGACUAACUACUGCGAAAGCAUUUGCCAAGGAUGUUUUCAUUAAUCAAGAACGAAAGUUAGGGGAUCGAAGACGAUCAGAUCCCGUCGUAGUCUUAACCAUAAACUAUGCCGACUAGGGAUCGGAUGAUGUUAAUUUUUUAAUGACUCA